GAGGAGGAGGAGGAGAAGGGAGAGGAUGAAAAAGAGUAUAUAUAUAUGGGAGCCACGCCAGUCUUUUCUCACCUGAUAACUAUGUCACCACUCCCACGCAGCGGAAGGAAGAUGCGUGUGGCUUUGGUGGUAGUGGUGGUGGCGGUGGUGGUGGCGGCGGUGAGCACGCAACCAACAGCAGACAAGCCACAAGGAGACGAGGGGGGUGCCAGGAAGAGAAACCCCAGACUUAACAUACCAGGGGGUAUUAUAGGCCUCGUACAUGGAGCAUUCAAUCCCUAUGGCUUUCUUCCGCCCAUGCAUCCGUACCCUCAACCUUAUCCCUACGGCCAGUGUGGUGGGCCCCCCAGAUAUUGUAACUGACUUGGGCACCGUCAUGAAGAUUUUUCUCGAAGUGCAUCCUGCCCAGAACAUGAUUAAUUAGUUUUACCUGUAGAAAGAUCGGUUGUCAUCUGUAAUCGGCUAAUCUAUUCUACCCCAGCUCUUGUGGCUGACUGGGGCACCACCAUGGAGGCUUUUUUUCGAAGUGCAUUCCACCCAUGACUUAGUUGAUUAGUUAACCUGUAGAAAUGGGUUUUUUUUUUUUUACGGCAAGGGAGGCAGCUCAAGUCCAAAAAAAACAAAAACAAGAAAAAAAAAGCCCGCUACACGCUGCUCCGACAAAAGAAAAAAAAAAGGAACGAGAGGCCAGAAGAGGGGUCAAGUGCUCUCACCUCUGCUCGACUAAUCUAUUCCACCUGUGUUGUUACAAGUAGUCUCACCUGCCCGGCUGGAAGUAGUCACUAAUUAAGCCAUUACUCUGGUUAUUAUGCUUUUAUGAGAUAUUUUUCACUUUCCCUUGCAUAUUUCGAGUCACUGCUGACUGCUUUGUGACCAAUAAACUAAUUAAUAUUAUUGCUAUCAUUAUUAUUACUACACUUGAUAGACUAGACACUUUUCAUUUUCCUCACUCUUUUUUUUCACAGGUGAGUCUUGAUUUUGGUCCUUUGUAAAAAAUGUGCUCAGGUGUAACAAAUCAAAUGGUGAUUAAUUAAACGUUUCUACAGGUAGUAAUUAAGGUGUGAACAGGUAUUUAAACCUCUCCCCAGAUAUCUUUUGUUUUGCCCAUUCAUACUAAUCAUUUUCAGGUGCAAUUGAUUAGUGUUCAGGUGUUCUCUAUUAUUACUACACCGUGAUCACCAUAUUUUUUUUAUUGUCAUACAUAACUGCGGUAAGGACGUAAGAGUGACCACCAUCAUUACGUGGACACUUAACGACCUUCUGACUAACCCACGUCACCAUCAUCAUCAUCACCACUGUCACCAUCACCUUGACCACACCUUCGGGAAUUACCUGCCAUUUCAAGGUGAAUGGACGUAAUUACCGAGACUUUCCCUUUGUACCUGUUAUUUCUUUUCCUCUUCCUUUCCAUUCUUUACAGGAGCAGCGAGUAGCGGGCUUUUUUUUAUUGUUUCCUUUUUUUGUGCCCUUGUGCUGUCUCCUUUGUUGUAAAAAAAAAAAAAAGAGAUUAAACAGAUUCCGUGACAAAGAGGGAAAGGAAAAAAAAAAGAAGAUAGAUUAACCUGUGUUCUCUUUUUUCCUUUCCUUACCUGCAAGAUUGUGCUAAAACAAUUCCCCCCAAAAAACAUGAAACUAAUAAGAUUUGAAAUAGCAUUUAUAGAACCAAAAGCAACAAGAGAAAGCUCAUUUACCUGUGCAAACCUUGCUUGUUGCCUGCAGAAAAGCAUUUGUACCAGAAAAUUCAUUGCACCUGGUCACUAAUUACUUGCACCUGAAAAUGAUAAGCAUGAACGAGCAAAACAAGAGAUACCUGUACGAGACCUGUUCACCUGUGCACACCUUGCUCGUUACAUGUAGAAAAACUUUGUACCUGUGGACUAAGAACACCUGAACAUUAAUCAAUUGCACCUGAAAAUGAAUAGUAUGAAUGGGCAAAACAAGAGAUAUCUGAGGAAAGGCUUAAAUACCUGUUCACACCUUGAUUACUACCUGUAGAAACGUUUAAUUAAUUACCACUUGAUUUGUUACACCUGAGCACAUUUUUUACAAAGGACCAACAUCAAGACUCACCUGUGAAAAAAAAAAGAAAAUGAGGAAAAUGAAAAGUUGUGUCUAGUCUAUCAAUUACUUUUUUCCCUUUUUUAUUUUGCUGAUAAGAGAAAAACGGAGACAAAAAAAAACGGAGAAAAAUAAAAAUAAGAAAAAGCAGAAGAGGCUGCCUGGUUUGAUUUAACUUUUAUAGGAUGAGUAAAACAAAAAACAACAAGUAAAACAAUAAAACAGGAGAUAGAGAAAACUGAGGAGAGGAAGGGAAACAAAGACUAACUAAGAGGCAAAAAUGGAGAGGGAAGUAAAAAGGAAAGAAAAAUAAUAGAAUCUAUAUCGACUUCUCCAUUCAGUAAAAAAAUAAAUAAAUAAAUAAACGUAGUUGCCAGAAAAUCAUUGUCUGGUUUCAGUACAAAUCAUUUGUGAUUAAAGAACGCAUUUAUAAACCAGUGUAAAACAAUAAAAAGGAGAGAAAAAGAAAAAAUAAAUAAAGGAACAAAAAAUAAAGACAAAAAAUGGGAAAGGAAAAACACAAAUGAGGAGAGCAAGAAAAAAAAACUAAGUAAGAAAAUCGUUGUCAGGUUUUAAUUUCAGUUUUUUGUGUGUAGCUAAGGAGCACACCUUUUUUGCACCUGUGGAAACGCUUUGGUACCUGGGAACACCUUGCACCUGAGCCUUAUUAUUACGAAGGACCUAAACCGCUUUCUCUUGUUAUUGAAAACACCCUCGGGUAUUGUCGAUUACUCCACUCCAAGGUCUCUCUCUCUCUCUCUCUCUCUCUCUCUCUCUCUCUCUCUCUCUCUCUCUCUCCCUCUCUCUCUCAGCGGAAGAAACAGGUAGAUGAUGACUUCCGCUAUAGGAGGUCAGAAGUAAGAAGAGAAGGAAGAAGAGGAGGAGGAAGAAGGGAGAGUUAGGAAGAGUAUAAAUAUGAGUGCUAAGGCAUCGCUUCCUCACUUCUUAAUUGUUCUCAGCAAAGAAAACACAUAACAGGAGCAAGAUGCGUGUGGCCGUGGUGUUAGUCGUGAUGGCGUUGGUGGUGGCGGUGGUGAGCGCGUUACCAGCAGCAGAUAAGCCCAACGGGAAGCGAGGCGGCGCUGGGGGAGUCGGGGGAGCUAACACCAGGACCUUUGACUUCUUAGGUGCUAUUGGCGGCUUCCUCCAAGGGGGGCUGAAUCCCUAUGGCAACAGCGGCUAUGGUGGUUACCGUCCUCCCUAUGGUGGUGGUGGGUUCGGUGGUUUGAAUGGUGGUUAUGGUGGGUACCCUACCUAUGGUGGUCAAGGUGGCUUCCCUGGUUCGUUUGGUGGUCAAGGUGGCUUCCCUGGUUCGUUUGGUGGUCAAGGUGGCUUCCCUGGUUCGUUUGGUGGUCAAGGUGGCUUCCCUGGUUCGUAUGGUGGCUAUUCUCCCUAUGGUGGGGCCGUCUACGGUUAAGUAUUUUACCUGUGAAAACAUCUGUAUAUCUGUGCUGUCACCUGUACUCGGCUAAUUAGUUAUAUCUGUAGCCACCCUAUCGACGCACCUGUACGCCUGUGUUGCUACCUGCCCAUACCUGUGAUUAUCUAGCAAUAUUGUCUGUUCUUGCCACACCUGUUCACUCGCAUUCUCACCUGCCGCCACUGUAGUCACACCUGCCCUCUGUCACCUGUACCACCUGCCAUAACCUCACCUGUAUUUACCUCACCGCUUCUAGAUUGUCACCUGUAUGAUAUUUAUUAAUCACCUUGCUCACCUGUCCCACACCUUUUGUGGACAUACCCGUAACCAUUCAAUUUUACCUGUAGAAAGUCACCUGUGCUCUGUUACCUAAGCCAAUCAGCCUCCUCGUUCACCUGGAAUCCGACUUCCUGUCUGUACCUGUCCUAUGUACCGUUUUGUACGGGACUGUAAAAAAUCUUACCUGUCGAAACUCACCCGAGCUUUGCCCUCUAUGCUAAUUAACUCUCUUUUGCUACUGUACAUUGUCUUGCUAACUGUGCAUGACUAACUCUUUACCUGCAAUUAGGCCUCUAUACCUGUGAUGGCCUGUGACCACGCUUUAUGAAAUUAGCCCUACUGUCUGCACUCAUCCAAUUCACCAACCUACCUGCCCCUCAACACACCUGCGAAUCAAACUCAUCAAGCACUUUACACCUUUCUCACCAGGUUCAUUACUCCUUAGCUUAUCACUUAUACCUUCUUCCUUCCUAUUCCAACGCUCUCUUCUACUUACAUUUUAACCUUUUUACCUAUUUCAAUUCAAGCAUUCUCUCCUCUUCCUAUUUGCAACUUCCCUACGCCUCCACCAUCUCAACCAUAGUAUCGUUUAACUUAUAAUGUAGCUAUUUAUUGUGGUGUUAAGUGUACAUUGUGUAGGUGCGUGUGUGUGUGUGUGUGUGUGUGUGUGUGUGUGUGUGUGUGUGUGUGUGUGUGUGUGUCGAACUUGUGUUUUCGAAAUAGGAAAAUGAUGAUAAAAAUAAAAACCCGUGAUAUGUAA